GAUGAAGAACGUAGCGAAAUGCGAUACUUGGUGUGAAUUGCAGAAUCCCGCGAAUCAUCGAGUUUUUGAACGCAAGUUGCGCCCGAAGCCAUUCGGCCGAGGGCACGUCUGCCUGGGUGUCACGCAUCGUUGCCCCCCCAAACUCCGGUUCGGGCGGGGCGGAAGUUGGCCUCCCGUGCGUGCCUGCACGCGCGGUUAGCCCAAAAGCGAGUCCUCGGCGACGAGCGCCACGACAAUCGGUGGUUGUCCAACCCUCGGUGCCAUGCUGCGCGCGCUAGCCGCUCACUGUUACUCGACGACCCCAAUGCGUCGUAGCCACGACGCUCACAACGCGACCCCAGGUCAGGCGGGGCUACCCGCUGAGUUUAAGCAUAUCAAUAAGCGGAGGA
rnacentral:misc_RNA from 1 species